rnacentral:rRNA from 1 species
GACGAACGCUGGCGGCGUGCUUAACACAUGCAAGUCGAACGGAAAGGCCCUGCUUUUGUUGGUUGCUCGAGUGGCGAACGGGUGAGUAACACGUGAGUAACCUGCCCUUGACUUUGGGAUAACUUCAGGAAACUGCGGCUCAUACCGGAUAUGAGCUCCUGCUGCAUGUUGGGGGUUGGAAAGUUUCGGCGGUUGUGGAUGGACUCGCGGCUUAUCAGCUUGUUGGUGGGGUAGUGGCUUACCAAGGCUUUGACGGGUAGCCGGCCUGAGAGGGUGACCGGGGACAUGGGGACUGAGAGACGGCCCAGAAGGAUACGGGAGGCAGCAGGGGGGAAUAUUGCAGAAUGGGCGGAAGCCUGAGGCAGCAACGCAGCGUGCGGGAUGACGGCCUUCGGGUUGUAAACCGCUUUCGCCUGUGACGAAGCGGGAGUGACGGUAAUGGGUAAAGAAGCACCGGCUAACUACGUG